rnacentral:rRNA from 1 species
GAUGAACGCUAGCGAUAGGCUUAACACAUGCAAGUCGAGGGGCAGCAUGGUCUUAGCUUGCUAAGACUGAUGGCGACCGGCGCACGGGUGCGUAACGCGUAUGCAACUUGCCUCACAGAGGGGGAUAACCCGUCGAAAGACGGACUAAUACCGCGUACACUUGGGAUAGGGCAUCCUGACCCAAGGAAAUGUAAUUCGCUGUGAGAUAGGCAUGCGUCCCAUUAGCUAGUUGGUGAGGUAACGGCUCACCAAGGCGACGAUGGGUAGGGGAACGGAGAGGUGGAACCCCCACACUGGAACUACGGCACGGACCAGACUGGUACGGAGGACAGCGGUAAGGAAUAUUAGUCGAUGAAGGAGAGCCUGAACCAGCCGAGUCGCGUGAAGAAUGACUGUCUUAUGGAUUGUAUGCUUCUUUUAUACAAGAAUAGCAAGAGCCACGUGUGGCUCCCUGCAUGUACCGAAUGAAUAAGCAUCGGCUAACUCCGUG